ACGGUACCCACAGAAGAAGCCCCGGCCAACUACGUGCCAGCAGCCGCGGUAACACGUAGGGGGCAAGCGUUGUCCGGAAUUAUUGGGCGUAAAGCGCGCGCAGGCGGUCCUUUAAGUCUGAUGUGAAAGCCCACGGCUCAACCGUGGAGGGUCAUUGGAAACUGGGGGACUUGAGUACAGAAGAGGAAAGCGGAAUUCCACGUGUAGCGGUGAAAUGCGUAGAGAUGUGGAGGAACACCAGUGGCGAAGGCGGCUUUCUGGUCUGUAACUGACGCUGAGGCGCGAAAGCGUGGGGAGCAAACAGGAUUAGAUACCCUGGUAGUCCACGCCGUAAACGAUGAGUGCUAAGUGUUAGAGGGUUUCCGCCCUUUAGUGCUGCAGCUAACGCAUUAAGCACUCCGCCUGG
rnacentral:rRNA from 1 species